UGGGAACGUACCCUUUGGUUCGGAACAACCCAGGGAAACUUGGGCUAAUAACCGGAUAAGUCCGUAAGGAGAAAGAUUUAUCGCCAAAGGAUCGGCCCGCGUCUGAUUAGCUAGUUGGUAGGGUAAUGGCUACCAAGGCUACGAUCAGUAGCUGGUCUGAGAGGAUGAUCAGCCACAUUGGGACUGAGACACGGCCCAAACUCCUACGGGAGGCAG
rnacentral:rRNA from 1 species